UUACCUACGGGAGGCAGCAGUGAGGAAUAUUGGUCAAUGGGCGGGAGCCUGAACCAGCCAAGUCGCGUGAGGGACGACGGUCCUAUGGACUGUAAACCUCUUUUGUCGGGGAACAAAGGCGCCCACGGGUGGGCGGAUGAGUGUACCCGAAGAAAAAGCAUCGGCUAACUCCGUGCCAGCAGCCGCGGUAAUACGGAGGAUGCGAGCGUUAUCCGGAUUUAUUGGGUUUAAAGGGUGCGUAGGCGGAAUGCCAAGUCAGCGGUAAAAUCGCGGGGCUCAACCUCGCUCCGCCGUUGAAACUGGCG
rnacentral:rRNA from 1 species